CCGGAGCUCGGUUGGUGAUUGGCGGAGAACGCUUGGGAACGACAGCGGACGGCCGCUAGGGGCGCCAGUGUCAAGGGAAGAGCCCGCGCUCUGCUCUCCCACUGUGGAGCUCAGAUUUAUGUGGGGACCGGGAGAAAGGUUGUUCCGCAGGUCCAACGUCCAUUUCUAGAUUGUGGUGAUUAACUGCAAGAACACAUCAAUAAACACCAGGAUGAAGCAGAAUAACAAGGCAGAUAUUAUCCAACUCUCAAAUGGAAGCCAAAUGUAGCAGAACAUAUAAGACAUGGAAGAAAUACAUAGUGCUGUGAGUACAGAAAAGUAAAGGAAGGUGGCCAGUUUUCCAGUCUUCAAGUGGAAGCAAGUCUUGGACCUUUUCUAGUCUCUCCAACGCAAGUUUCACCAAUGGAAAAGAGGAGACUGUCCUGCUGUCUGUUGUCCAGGGAGGUCUUCUUCAAAGCCUUGUCUUCAUUUGACACAACUGGAACUAAUGUCACAUUACUCACUUACUUACAAUUUUUCCAUCUCCCAUGCUUGCAAAAAUUGAUAAAUGACCUCAUGGUACUCUUUCAUUAUUUCUUUGACUACAUACUAUAGCUGCUACAUGAAUGGUGUGGUACUUGCAUAAAAUGGCCUUGUAAGUUUUUGGGUGAAUGUGGAAGAAAGCCAUAAACUUUAACCUAUUUUACUAAUACCACAAGUUGUCUGGCUUGAAUAUACUCAUCAUUGUUCCCUUGACCUUUCCUCCAUAUACGAAGUACUUCCUCUUAGGUUUCUUCCAAAUUCUGUAAA